rnacentral:ncRNA from 1 species
CGGCAGUUGGGCGGCGUCGGUUCCUGUCUAUGACAGGCGAAGAGGGAAUGAUCUAGGGCCCCGGCCCGAAGUUCAGCCGCCCCCGCGACCGUGACCGGAGAGGUCGUCCAAGCCACUGGCAUUCGUGCCGGGAAGGCGGGCGACCGGGGCCGCAAGGCCCGGCUCCGCAAGCCGGGAGACCUGCCGACACGGUUAUGUUUCG